UCCUACGGGAGGCAGCAGUAGGGAAUAUUGGACAAUGGGCGAAAGCCUGAUCCAGCAAUGCCGCGUGAGUGAUGAAGGCCUUAGGGUUGUAAAGCUCUUUUACCCGAGAUGAUAAUGACAGUAUCGAGAAAGUCAGUCGCGGCUAACUCCGUGCCAGCAGCCGC
rnacentral:rRNA from 1 species